UCCGUAGGCGGUGUGGCAAGUCGGAAGUGAAAUCUCUGGGCUUAACCCAGAAGGCUGCUUCCGAAACUGCCGUGCUAGAGUGUGAGAGAGGCGAGUGGAAUUGCGGGUGUAGCGGUGAAAUGCGUAGAUAUCCGCAGGAACAUCCGAGGCGAAAGCGGCUCGCUGGAUCACAACUGACGCUGAGGGACGAAAGCUAGGGGAGCAAACAGGAUUAGAUACCCUGGUAGUCCUAGCCCUAAACCAUCAGGACUUGGGGUUUGCCCUGUACGGGGCAAGUCCCGUAGCUAACGCGUUAAGUCCUGCGCCUGGGGAGUACGGUCGCAAGGCUAGAA
rnacentral:rRNA from 1 species